rnacentral:rRNA from 1 species
GACGAACGCUGGCGGCGUGCUUAACACAUGCAAGUCGAACGGAAAGGCCUCUUUCGGGGGGUACUCGAGUGGCGAACGGGUGAGUAACACGUGAGUAACCUGCCCUUGACUUUGGGAUAACUUCAGGAAACUGGGGCUAAUACCGGAUAGGAGCUCCUGCUGCAUGGUGGGGGUUGGAAAGUUUCGGCGGUUGGGGAUGGACUCGCGGCUUAUCAGCUUGUUGGUGGGGUAGUGGCUUACCAAGGCUUUGACGGGUAGCCGGCCUGAGAGGGUGACCGGCGAGAGUGGGACUGAGAGGCGGACCAAACUCCGAGUGGAGGCAGCAGGGGGGAAGAUUGGACAAGGGACGGAAGGUUGAGGAAGCAACGCCGCGGGCGGGAUGAUGGGAGUGGGGGUGUAAAACGAGGACAAUGGUGAAGAAGAGGUGGUGGGACGGUAGCAGGAGAAGAAGCAACGGCUAACUACGUG